GGGAUUGUAGCUCAGUGGAAGAGCACGUGCAUAGCAUGUAUGAGGCACUGGGUUCGAUUCUCAGCACUA
rnacentral:tRNA from 1 species